UACGUAGGGACCAAGCGUUGUUCGGAUUUACUGGGCGUAAAGGGCGCGUAGGCGGCAAUUCAAGUCAUCUGUGAAAUCUCCGGGCUUAACUCGGAAUGGUCAGGUGAUACUGCUUUGCUAGAGUGCAGAAGGGGCAAUCGGAAUUCUUGGUGUAGCGGUGAAAUGCGUAGAUAUCAAGAGGAACACCUGAGGUGAAGACGGGUUGCUGGGCUGACACUGACGCUGAGGAGCGAAAGCCAGGGGAGCAAACGGG
rnacentral:rRNA from 1 species